AUCUGUACUUGCCGACCCAUUUGAAUAUUGUGAUGUUGUAACAACUACCACUCACAAGUCAUUACGAGGUCCCAGAGGUGGCAUGAUUUUCUUCAAGAAAGAUCCUGUUCUUUGGGUUGAUAUGGAAUCUACGAUUAACAAUGUUGUUUUCCCAGGGUUACAAUACUGGAAUUGGAUAUGAAGAUGAUCUGGAGCUGCAGUUCAGAACUUAUUGCAAGAAAU